AAUAGAAAUGAUGUACAUUAAACUACUGUGUAUAUUAAUUAUUUCAAACACUACCAUAUAGCACUUUUAAGUGUUCUGUAAGCAAAAAAUAUAUAUAGUUGUGGUUAUCAUGCAAACCACAAGAACCCUCCAAGGUUGUAAGUAGUUUGGGAUUAUUUUGGUCCUCUUUUUGAAGUUUUCUGCGUAAUGGUUUUCCUUUGGGGAUGUUAUUACUACUGCUAUAAAUCUAGAACUUAACUAUUGAUACUUGUGUUUUGAAAACAGUGUUCACCUUUGGACAUUAUCCAUGUUUGGAGAGUGGCAUACCACUUUACCUGUGCUUAUUGUGAACACAGGAAUUUGCCCCAAAUUUCUAUCUUUUUGUAGAUGGAUUGUAGCACAAUAAUUAAUGAAUUUUCAGUGGUACCGCUCAAUAUUUUGGGAACUUUGCAAACCUAAGUAUCAGAUGUACUUUUUUUUUUUUUAAUUGGUUAUUACCAUGUAACACAGUGUCUUCUCUUUAGCCAAACUGGUGAACAAACAUAUAGAAUUGUUUCACUGAUGUGGAAUGUUGACUACCGGCAGUUUUAUAAGUACAAGUCAGAAAGAGGCAGGACAGAUGGCCUCUUGUACUGAACGCUUCAAGAACUUAAUUUGUCCUAGUUUUCUGACAAAGACUUGACUCUGGUUUUCAUAGAGCUUGGUUUUUACCUAUCAUAGAGCAGAUUAGAUGGUAGUGAUGCACUGGUAGAGAUGGUUUUUAGUUAUUGACUCAGAAUUCAUCUCAUGAUUGAAUCUUUUAUGUUGUUUUACUGUAUGUAUAUCUACAUUGACUUAAUAAACAUGGGUUUAGUAACUUUGUGUUAAAAUUUGGCCUGGUAACAAUUAUUUCAUUUUUACCUAUCAAGGAGUAGAAAAAUCUCCAUGUAUUGGUAUGUGUAUAUUGACGUUAUUUGGUACUCAUGUGAUAUGUGAAAUAAAAUGGAUUUUUCUACAGCUUAAUGAUUUCCCUCUGGGGAGAGUUCUGGUACAGCAAUCACACUGCCAGAUGGUGUUUAUGGGCUAUUUAUGUAAGUGGUAAGAUACUAUGAAAUAAAGGGUGCUUUCAUCAGAUGGAAACUCUUGAUGCAUGUGUUUUUGUGUGGAAUAAACUUGGGUGCAAUGUGAUGUCACUCCAUGUUGCAUUAAAUUUAAUUUCAAUUAUAUUUAUGUAGACGUAUAUCUGUCAUGCUUCUAGUUGCUUCAACCUUUGUAUCUAUAUAUUUUUUACUUAUUUUAAUAGAAAAUAUUUUAAGUGGAAAUUGAAUAAAAAUUUGAUAGUUUAAUAAAAGUCAUUGCGGUUUUUAAAAAAA
rnacentral:lncRNA from 1 species